rnacentral:rRNA from 1 species
GACGAACGCUGGCGGCGUGCUUAACACAUGCAAGUCGAUCGGAAAGGCCCUGCUUUUGUGGGGUGCUCGAGUGGCGAACGGGUGAGUAACACGUGAGUAACCUGCCCUUGACUUUGGGAUAACUUCAGGAAACUGGGGCUAAUACCGGAUAGGAGCUCCUGCUGCAUGGUGGGGGUUGGAAAGUUUCGGCGGGUGGGGAUGGACUCGCGGCUUAUCAGCUUGUUGGUGGGGUAGUGGCUUACCAAGGCUUUGACGGGUAGCCGGCCUGAGAGGGUGACCGGCCACAUUGGGACUGAGAUACGGCCCAGACUCCUACGGGAGGCAGCAGUGGGGAAUAUUGCACAAUGGGCGGAAGCCUGAUGCAGCAACGCCGCGUGCGGGAUGACGGCCUUCGGGUUGUAAACCGCUUUCGCCUGUGACGAAGCGUGAGUGACGGUAAUGGGUAAAGAAGCACCGGCUAACUACGUG